rnacentral:rRNA from 1 species
UAAGAGUUUGAUCCUGGCUCCAAAUGAAUGCUAGCGGAAUGCUUUACACAUGCAAGUAUUUUUAAUACUAAAAUGCGAACGGGUGAGUUUGACUUAGAAUUUACCUGGUUCUGAUUAACUAGAUAAGCUAAGUUUUAAAAUAGAUAGUUGGUAAGGUAAAAGCGAUACCAAGUCUUUGAUUUUUAGUGGGUUUGAAAGGAUGAUCCACCACAUUGGGAUUGAGACAAGGCCCAACCAUUAGGCAGCAGUGAGGAAUAUUGGACAAUGAGCGUAAGCUUGAUCCAGCAAUACCGCGUAAAUGAUAUGACAGCUAUCUAGUUGUAAAGUUUACUUUUUAGAAUAAAUUGAUUUCUAAAAUAAAAAGUCCUGACUAAUUACGUGCCAGCAGUCGCGGUAACACGUAAAGGGCGAGCAUUAUUUAAAAUUAUUGGGCGUAAAGCGUUUGUAGGUUGCUAGUUGAGUUGUUCUUUAAAGGAUAUUUUUUAAUGAUAUUGUUGGAAUAAUACUUAUUAGCUUGAGUAGUGAUUUGGGUAAAUAGAAUAUUUAUUUUACAGGUAAAAUUGGUUGAUAAUAAAUGGAAUACCAAAAGCGAAGGCUGUUUUCUAAAAACUACUGACACUCAGAAACGAAAGCUAAGGUAGCAAAAUGGAUUAGAUACCCAUGUAGUCUUAGCUGUAAACAAUGCAUAUUUAAUAUAUUUGGUUUUUUCGGAAUUCCUAUAUAUUUAAGUUAACACAAAGUAUGCCGCCUGGAGAGUAUGAUCGCAAGGUUGAAAUUCAAAGGAAUUGACGGGAGCUAAUUAAAGGCAGUGGAAUAUGCGGGUUAAUUCGAAAAUACGCGAAAACCUUACCAAGUUUUGACUCAAAAUUAUUGUUUUAUUAAGUGUUGCAUGGUUGUCUUCAGCUCGUGUUUUAAAAUGUAUGGUUAAGUCCGUUAACGAGCGCAACCCUUAUCUUUUAUUUUUAAACAGUUAUUUGUUUAUACGAUAUUUGCCUAGGAUAACUAGGAUGAAAGUUAGGAUGACGACAAAUCUUCAUGACCUUAAUAAUUUGGGCUGCACGCGUGUUACAAAAAUAAGAACAGUAAGAAGCUAUU